UACGAAGGGGGCAAGCGUUGCUCGGAAUCACUGGGCGUAAAGGGCGCGUAGGCGGACGUUUAAGUCAGGGGUGAAAUCCCGAGGCUCAACCUCGGAAUUGCCUUUGAUACUGGAUGUCUCGAGACCGGAAGAGGUGAGUGGAACUGCGAGUGUAGAGGUGAAAUUCGUAGAUAUUCGCAAGAACACCAGUGGCGAAGGCGGCUCACUGGUCCGGUUCUGACGCUGAGGCGCGAAAGCGUGGGGAGCAAACAGGG
rnacentral:rRNA from 1 species